AAAAACAUUGUCUCAUGAAUAAAAUAUAAGAUAAUACCUGCCCAGUGACAUAAGUUCAACGGCCGCGGUAUCCUAACCGUGCAAAGGUAGCAUAAUCACUUGCCUAUUAAUUGUAGGCUAGAAUGAAUGGGUUAACGAAAUAAAAACUGUCUCAAUUAAUUACCUAAAAAUUAUUCUCUACCUGAAGAAAAGUAGAUUUACUCGAAGGACAAGAAGACCCUAGAGAGCUUAAUUUUAACUAUAGGAUUCUACUAUAGAAAUAUUCGGUUGGGGCGACCCAGGGAUAAUAAUCACCCAAUAAAUAAAAGAUAUAUAAAUCAAGUAAAUGACCCUAUAAAGAUCAUCAAACAAGCUACCUUAGGGAUAACAGGCUAAUCCCACUUAAGAGUCCUUAUCAACAGUGGGGUUUGGCACCUCGAUGUUGGCUUAGGGUAUCUAUAUGGCGCAAAAGUUAUAUAAAGAUGGUUUGUUCAACCAAUAACAUCCCUACGUGAUCUGAGUUCAGACCGGGCC
rnacentral:rRNA from 1 species